rnacentral:tRNA from 1 species
GGGGAUAUGGUGUAGGGGUAUCACGUCUGCUUUGCAUUGUUCAUUCUGAACGACGGCAUCUGCAGAAGGCCCGGGGUUCAAAUCCCCGUGUCUCCA